rnacentral:rRNA from 1 species
GGAUGAACGCUAGCGGCAGGCCUAACACAUGCAAGUCGAGGGGUAGAGGAAGCUUGCUUCCUUGAGACCGGCGCACGGGUGCGUAACGCGUAUGCAAUCUACCUUGUACAGAGGGAUAGCCCAGAGAAAUUUGGAUUAAUACCUCAUAGUGUUAUCGAAUCGCAUGGUUUGAUAACUAAAGUUCCAACGGUACAAGAUGAGCAUGCGUCCCAUUAGCUAGUUGGUGUGGUAACGGCAUACCAAGGCAAUGAUGGGUAGGGGUCCUGAGAGGGAGAUCCCCCACACUGGUACCGAGACACGGACCAGACUCCUACGGGAGGCAGCAGUGAGGAAUAUUGGACAAUGGGCGCAAGCCUGAUCCAGCCAUGCCGCGUGCAGGAUGACGGUCCUAUGGAUUGUAAACUGCUUUUAUACAGGAAGAAACCCUACCACGUGUGGUAGAUUGACGGUACUGUAGGAAUAAGGAUCGGCUAACUCCGUGCCAGCAGCCGCGGUAAUACGGAGGAUCCAAGCGUUAUCCGGAAUCAUUGGGUUUAAAGGGUCCGUAGGCGGUUUAAUAAGUCAGUGGUGAAAGCCCAUCGCUUAACGAUGGAACGGCCAUUGAUACUGUUAGACUUGAGUUAUUAGGAAGUAACUAGAAUAUGUAGUGUAGCGGUGGAAUGCUUAGAUAUUACAUGGAAUACCAAUUGCGAAGGCAGGUUACUACUAAUAUAUUGACGCUGAUGGACGAAAGCGUGGGGAGCGAACAGGAUUAGAUACCCUGGUAGUCCACGCCGUAAACGAUGGAUACUAGCUGUUGGGCGCAAGCUCAGUGGCUAAGCGAAAGUGAUAAGUAUCCCACCUGGGGAGUACGUUCGCAAGAAUGAAACUCAAAGGAAUUGACGGGGGCCCGCACAAGCGGUGGAACAUGUGGUUUAAUUCGAUGAUACGCGAGGAACCUUACCAGGGCUUAACAUGUNAAAUGACNGGACUGGAAACANNUUUUUNCUCGGAANCUUUACAAGGUGCUGCAUGGUUGUC